AUUGAACGCUGGCGGCAUGCCUUACACAUGCAAGUCGAACGGCAGCACGGGUGCUUGCACCUGGUGGCGAGUGGCGAACGGGUGAGUAAUACAUCGGAACGUACCUUAUCGUGGGGGAUAACGCAGCGAAAGUUGCGCUAAUACCGCAUACGCCCUGAGGGGGAAAGCGGGGGACCGUAAGGCCUCGCGCGAUUAGAGCGGCCGAUGUCUGAUUAGCUUGUUGGUGAGGUAAAAGCUCACCAAGGCGAUGAUCAGUAGCUGGUCUGAGGGGACGAUCAGCCACACUGGGACUGAGACACGGCCCAGGCUCCUACGGGAGGCAGCAGUGGGGAAUUUUGGACAAUGGGGGCAACCCUGAUCCAGCAAUGCCGCGUGAGUGAAGAAGGCCUUCGGGUUGUAAAGCUCUUUUGUCAGGGAAGAAACAGCAGCUCUAACACAGUCUGCGAAUGACGGUACCUGAAGAAUAAGCACCGGCUAACUACGUGCCAGCCGCCGCGGUAA
rnacentral:rRNA from 1 species